CCUACGGGCGGCAGCAGUGAGGAAUAUUGGUCAAUGGCCGAGAGGCUGAACCAGCCAAGUCGCGUGCGGGAAGAAUGCCCUAUGGAUUGUAAACCUCUUUUGUCAGGGAGUAAAGCGCCUUACGUGUGGGGGUUGGAGAGUACCGGAAGAAAAAGCACCGGCUAACUCCGUGCCAGCAGCCGCGGUAAUACGGAGGAUGCGAGCGUUAUCCGGAUUUAUUUGGUUUAAAGGGUGCGUAGGCGGCUUAUCAAGUCAGCGGUAAAAUCGUGGAGCUCAACUCCACCCAGCCGUCGGAACUGGUGAUCUUGAGUGCGCGGAAAGUAUGCGGAAUGCGUGGUGUAGCGGUGAAAUGCAUAGAUAUCACGAAGAACUCCGAUUGCGAAGGCAGCAUGCCGGCGCCCGACUGACGCUGAAGCACGAAAGCGUGGGUAUCGAACAGGAUUAGAUACCCUAGUAGUC
rnacentral:rRNA from 1 species